rnacentral:rRNA from 1 species
CGUCAGUCUUUGUCCAGGGGGCCGCCUUCGCCACCGGUAUUCCUCCAGAUCUCUACGCAUUUCACCGCUACACCUGGAAUUCUACCCCCCUCUACAAGACUCUAGCCUGCCAGUUUCGAAUGCAGUUCCCAGGUUGAGCCCGGGGAUUUCACAUCCGACUUGACAGACCGCCUGCGUGCGCUUUACGCCCAGUAAUUCCGAUUAACGCUUGCACCCUCCGUAUUACCGCGGCUGCUGGCACGGAGUUAGCCGGUGCUUCUUCUGCGGGUAACGUCAAUUGCUGAGGUUAUUAACCUCAACACCUUCCUCCCCGCUGAAAGUACUUUACAACCCGAAGGCCUUCUUCAUACACGCGGCAUGGCUGCAUCAGGCUUGCGCCCAUUGUGCAAUAUUCCCCACUGCUGCCUCCCGUAGGAGUCUGGACCGUGUCUCAGUUCCAGUGUGGCUGGUCAUCCUCUCAGAUCAGCUAGGGAUCGUCGCCUAGGUGAGCCGUUACCCCACCUACUAGCUAAUCCCAUCUGGGCACAUCUGAUGGCAAGAGGCCCGAAGGUCCCCCUCUUUGGUCUUGCGACGUUAUGCGGUAUUAGCUACCGUUUCCAGUAGUUAUCCCCCUCCAUCAGGCAGUUUCCCAGACAUUACUCACCCGUCCGCCGCUCGCCGGCAAAGUAGCAAGCUACU